UCUGCCGAGGAGUAGUGCGAAAAAUAACGAGACCGUUCUCUUAUGAGGCGGUCAUCGAAUGGGUACAAUUUAAACCCUUUAACGAGUAUCUAUGAGAGGGCAAGUCUGGUGCCAGCAGCCGCGUAAUUCCAGCUCUCAAAGUGCAUAGAAUUAAUUGCUGCGGUUAAAAAGCUCGUAGUUGGAUCUGUGCCAUAGGACGUGGUCCACCUUCGGGUGCGUACUAUGCUCCUAGGCUUUUUGCUGGUUUUCCCGUCGUAGCCUUCACUGGUUGCGGCGGGUGGCUGGCGAGUUUACUUUGAGAAAAUCAGAGUGCUCAAUACAGGCGUAUCGCUUGAAUGAUUGUGCAUGGAAUAAUAGAAAAGGAUUUCGGUCCUCUUUUAUUGGUUUUGGGACUGAGAUAAUGGUUAACAGGGACAAACGGGGGCAUUCGUAUCUCUGCGUGAGAGGUGAAAUUCUUGGACCGUAGAGAGACGCCGUACUGCGAAAAUUUUUUAAGAAUGUCUACAUUAAUCAAGAAC
rnacentral:rRNA from 1 species